UACGUAGGGUGCAAGCGUUAAUCGUAAUUACUGGGCGUAAAGCGUGCGCAGGCGGUUAUAUAAGACAGAUGUGAAAUCCCCGGGCUCAACCUGGGAACUGCAUUUGUGACUGUAUAGCUAGAGUACGGUAGAGGGGGAUGGAAUUCCGCGUGUAGCAGUGAAAUGCGUAGAUAUGCGGAGGAACACCGAUGGCGAAGGCAAUCCCCUGGACCUGUACUGACGCUCAUGCACGAAAGCGUGGGGAGCAAACAGG
rnacentral:rRNA from 1 species